UACGAAGGGGGCUAGCGUUGCUCGGAAUCACUGGGCGUAAAGCGCACGUAGGCGGGUCGUUAAGUCAGGGGUGAAAUCCCGGAGCUCAACUCCGGAACUGCCUUUGAUACUGGCGAUCUUGAGUUCGAGAGAGGUGAGUGGAACUGCGAGUGUAGAGGUGAAAUUCGUAGAUAUUCGCAAGAACACCAGUGGCGAAGGCGGCCAACUGGACCAUUACUGACGCUGAGGUGCGAAAGCGUGGGGAGCAAACAGG
rnacentral:rRNA from 1 species